rnacentral:rRNA from 1 species
ACGCUCGACACCUACGGGGGGCAGCAGUUGGGAAUAUUGGACAAUGGAGGAAACUCUGAUCCAGUGACGCCGCGUGAAGGAAGAAGGUCUUCGGAUUGUAAACUUAUUUUGUCAGGGAAGAAAAAAUGACUGUACCUGAAGAAAAAGCACCGGCUAACUACGUACCAGCAGCCGCGGUAAUCUGAGCGGGCUGGCAAGGC